ACAAUUCUAGCAGGACUCAACUGUCAAGGGCAGAUCAAAGUCCAGAGAGCGUGGCAAAGGGGACAAGCACUCUUCUGAACAUUAGGCUCACAGGUGCCCACAAGCACUCCGAUCAAAUCGUACCUAUGGCAUCGACAAAAGAAUGCUGGGACAUGUGGGCACCAUAUGAAGGUGCCAAGUCCAAGGCAGACCCUGACCCUCACUGGUGUUCCCUGGCAUUCUCAACACUAGAGGGGAUUGAGCAGUGCUGAGCCAAAAGCACUGGGUGGCCAGGAGAAGGGACUGUCCCUCAGCAGGGCAGAAUCAAAUCCAGCUGCAAGGGCAGCAGCCACCUCUACAGAUGAGGUUAGGAGAAGCUAUGGGCUCGGUGAGGAGGCGGAACCCUGGACUUCAGUCAUCUGCAUCCAUUCAUCAACUGACACAGCGAGAGCACUUUGCCACCGCCUGCAUCACAGCCUCGCAGAAGAACAGUGCUGUGCCCGCCCCGCAGAAGUCUCCUUACCGAGUGCUGUCUGAUACUGUGCUUUGGAGCUCUCUGCUGAAUCACGUUUUCAAUAGCUAGAACUUGCCCAAAUGUCCCUGAAACUGAGUGUACCAAAAAAUUGUCUAAAAGCAGAUCUUAAUAAAUUUAGAUAAACGAUAA